CCUACGGGUGACUGCAGUGAGGAAUAUUGGUCAAUGGGCGCGAGCCUGAACCAGCCAAGUCGCGUGAGGGAGGACGGCCCUACGGGUUGUAAACCUCGUUUGCCGGGGAGCAACGGGCGGCACGUGUGGCGCCACUGAGAGUACCCGGAGAAAAAGCAGCGGCAAACUCCGUGCCAGCAGCCGCGGUAAUAAGGAGGAUGCGAGCGUUAUCCGGAUUGAUUGGGUUUAAAGGGUGCGUAGGCGGAUCGUUAAGUCAGUGGUCAAAUUGAGGGGCUCAACCCCUGCCCGCCAUUGAAACUGGCGCUCUUGAGUGGAAGAGAAGUAUGCGGAAUGCGUGGUGUAGCGGUGAAAUGCAUAGAUAUCACGCAGAACCCCGAUUGCGAAGGCAGCAUGCCGGCUUCCGACUGACGCUGAAGCACGAAAGCGUGGGGAUCGAACAGGAUUAGAUACCCCUGUAGUC
rnacentral:rRNA from 1 species